rnacentral:rRNA from 1 species
AUUGAACGCUGGCGGCAGGCCUAACACAUGCAAGUCGAACGGUAACAGGAAGCAGCUUGCUGCUUUGCUGACGAGUGGCGGACGGGUGAGUAAUGUCUGGGAAACUGCCUGAUGGAGGGGGAUAACUACUGGAAACGGUAGCUAAUACCGCAUAACGUCGCAUGACCAAAGAGGGGGACCUUCGGGCCUCUUGCCAUCGGAUGUGCCCAGAUGUGCUUAGCUGGUAGGUGGGGUAACGGCUCACCUAGGCGACGAUCCGUAGCUGGUCUGUGAGGAUGACCAGCCACACUGGAACUGAGACACGGUCCAGACUCCUACGGGAGGCGACAGUGGGGAAUAUUGCACGAUAGGCGCAAGCCUGAUGCAGCCAUGCCGCGUGUAUGAAGAAGGCCGUCGGGUUGUAAAGUACUUUCAGCGGGGAGAAAGGGAGUAAAGUUAAUACCUUUGCUCAUUGACGUUACCCGCAGAAGAAGCACCGGCUAACUCCGUG